rnacentral:rRNA from 1 species
UGGUAACGCCAGUUGCCAUGGAGCCGCUGUUGGGAUACCACCCUUGCAGUAUUGGGUUUCUAACCAGCCGCCGUGACCCGGCGGUGGGACAAUGCCAGACGGGGAGUUUGACUGGGGCGGUCGCCUCCGAAAGGGUAUCGGAGGCGCCCAAAGGUUCCCUCAGAAUGGACGGAAACCAUUCGAAGAGUGCAAAGGCAGAAGGGAGCUUGACUGCGACACCGACGGGUGGAGCAGGUACGAAAGUAGGGCUUAGUGAUCCGGUGGUAUUAAGUGGGAAUGCCAUCGCUCAACGGAUAAAAGCUACCCUGGGGAUAACAGGCUUAUCACUCCCAAGAGUUCACAUCGACGGAGUGGUUUGGCACCUCGAUGUCGGCUCAUCGCAUCCUGGGGCUGUAGUAGGUCCCAAGGGUUGGGCUGUUCGCCCAUUAAAGCGGUACGCGAGCUGGGUUCAGAACGUCGUGAGACAGUUCGGUCCCUAUCCGGCGUGGGCGUAGGAUAUCUGAGAGGAGCUGUCCUUAGUACGAGAGGACCGGGAUGGACGGGCCGCUGGUGCAUCGGUUAGACUGCCAAGUCUACGGCCGAGUAGCCAAGCCCGGAAGGGAUAAACGCUGAAGGCAUCUAAGCGUGAAGCCCCCCUUAAGAUGAGAUAUCCCAUUCGAAAGAAGUAAACCCCCUUGAAGACGACGAGGUAGAUAGGGCAGAGGUGGAAGUG